CCGACGAGCUGGAAAAUGGCGGCAUCCGUAGUCUGCCAGGCCGCUAGCACCCGGGCACAAGUGCUGCUGCACCAGCCGCUCGCCGGCCCUGCUGCGGACGCCAGCCUUGCGGAGGACGGCAACCUUCUCUCAGGCGCUCGUUUGUGCCGGAGACACGGGUUAGCAAACUCAACAACGGCCUGCGUGUGGCCUCGGAGCAGUCCUCCCAGCCCACUUGCACGGUGGGAGUGUGGAUUGAUGUUGGCAGCCGUUUUGAGACUGAGAAGAACAACAGGCCAGGCUACUUUGUGGAGCAUCUGGCUUUCAAGGGAACAAAGAAUCGGCCUGGCAGUGCCCGGGAGAAGGAGGUGGAGAGCAUAGGGGCCCAUCUUAAUGCCUACAGCACCUGAGAGCACACAGCUUACUACAUCAAAGCGCUGUCCAAGGAUCUGCCAAAAGUUGGGGAGAUCCUGGGUGACACUGUGCAGAAGUGUAGUCUGGAACUCACAGAUCGAGAAGGAACGUGAUGCGAUCCUGCGGGAGAUGCCGGAGAAUGAUGCCUCUGUGCGAGACAUGGUCUUUGACUACCUGCAUGCCACAGCAUUCCAGGGCACAUCUCUAGCCCAGGCUGUGGAGGGGACCAGUGAGAAUGUCAGGAAGCUGUCCCGUGCAGACUUGACUGAGUACCUCUGCAGGCAUUACAGGGCCCCUCAAAUGGUACUGGCAGUGGCGGGAGGAGUGGAGCACCAGCUGCUGUUAGACCUUGCCCAGAAGCACCUCGGUGACAUCUCUUGGCAGUACCCAGAGGAUGCUGUGCCCACUUUUACUCCAUGCCGCUUCACUGGCAGUGAGAUCCACCACCAUGAUGACACUCUACCUUUGGCCCAUGUGGCCAUUGCAGUAGAGGGUCCUGGCUGGGCCAGCCCAGACAAUGUGGCCUUGCAAGUGGCCAAUGCCAUUAUCAGCCACUAUGACCGCACUUAUGGUGGUGGCGAGCACCUGUCCAGCCCACUGGCUUCAAUCAGUGUGGCCAAAAAGCUGUGCCAGAGUUUCCAGACUUUCAACAUCUGCUAUGCAGAGACGGGCUUGCUGGGUGCACACUUUGUGACCGAAUGAAAAUCGGUGACUUGAUCUAUGUGCUGCAAGGCCAGUGGAUGCGCCUGUGUACCAGUACCAUGGAGAGUGCGGUGGCUCGGGGCAAAAACAUCCUCAGAAAUGCCCUGGUAUCUCAGCUAGACGGCACUACUCCCGUGUGUGAGAACAUCAGACGCAGCCUCCUGACCUACGGCCACCGCAUUCCCCUGGCUGAAUGGGAAAGCUGAAUUGUGGAGGUAGAUGCCAGUGUGGUGCGUGAGAUCUGCUCCAAGUACUUCUAUGACCAGUGCCCAGCAGUGGCUGGAUAUGGCCCCAUGGAGCAGCUCACAGACUACAACCGGAACCGUAGCGGCAUCUUCUGGCUGCGCUUCUAGGUGGGAAGCCUGUGUAAGCAAGAGGGUGUGGCUGGGGCUCGUGGUCCCUC